rnacentral:rRNA from 1 species
UUCGUAGGGGGCAAGCGUUGUCCGGAAUCAUUGGGCGUAGAGCGCGUGUAGGCGGCUAGGUAAGUCUGCUCUGAAAGCCCGGGGCUCAACCCCGGGAGGCGGGUGGAUACUGUCUAGCUCGAGUCCGGAAGAGGAGUGUGGAAUUCCUGGUGUAGCGGUGAAAUGCGCAGACAUCAGGAGGAACACCUAUGGCGAAGGCAGCUCGCUGGGACGUUACUGACGCUGAGACGCGAAAGCGUGGGGAGCAAACAGG